UACGGAGGGUGCAAGCGUUAUCCGGAUUCACUGGGUUUAAAGGGUGCGCAGGUGGGUUGGUAAGUCAGUGGUGAAAUCCCCGAGCUUAACUUGGGAACUGCCAUUGAUACUAUCAGUCUUGAAUACCGUGGAGGUCAGCGGAAUAUGUCAUGUAGCGGUGAAAUGCUUAGAUAUGACAUAGAACACCAAUUGCGAAGGCAGCUGGCUACUCGGAUAUUGACACUGAGGCACGAAAGCGUGGGGAUCAAACAGG
rnacentral:rRNA from 1 species